UGGGGAAUAUUGCACAAUGGGCGAAAGCCUGAUGCAGCAACGCCGCGUGAGUGAUGAAGGUCUUCGGAUUGUAAAGCUCUGUCUUUUGGGACGAUAAUGACGGUACCAAAGGAGGAAGCCACGGCUAACUACGUGCCAGCAGCCGCGGUAAUACGUAGGUGGCGAGCGUUGUCCGGAUUUACUGGGCGUAAAGGGUGCGUAGGCGGAUGUUUAAGUGAGAUGUGAAAUACCCGGGCUUAACUUGGGUGCUGCAUUUCAAACUGGAUAUCUAGAGUGCAGGAGAGGAGAAUGGAAUUCCUAGUGUAGCGGUGAAAUGCGUAGAGAUUAGGAGAACACCAGUGGCGAAGGCGAUUCUCUGGACUGUAACUGACGCUGAGGCACGAAAGCGUGGGUAGCAAACAGGAUUAGAUACCCUGGUAGUCCACGCCGUAAACGAUGAGUACUAGGUGUAGGAGGUAUCGACCCCUUCUGUGCCGCAGUAAACACAUUAAGUACUCCGCCUGGGAAGUACGAUCGCAAGAUUAAAACUCUAAAGUGAAUUGAC
rnacentral:rRNA from 1 species